rnacentral:rRNA from 1 species
GAUGAACGCUGGCGGCGUGCUUAACACAUGCAAGUCGAACGGGAAUUCUUUUAUUGAAACUUCGGUCGAUUUAAUUUAAUUCUAGUGGCGGACGGGUGAGUAACGCGUGGGUAUCCUGCCUUAUACAGGGGGAUAACAGUCAGAAAUGGCUGCUAAUACCGCAUAAGCGCACAGAGCUGCAUGGCUCAGUGUGAAAAACUCCGGUGGUAUAAGAUGGACCCGCGUUGGAUUAGCUGGUUGGUGGGGUAACGGCCCACCAAGGCGACGAUCCAUAGCCGGCCUGAGAGGGUGAACGGCCACAUUGGGACUGAGACACGGCCCAGACUCCUACGGGAGGCAGCAGUGGGGAAUAUUGCACAAUGGGGGAAACCCUGAUGCAGCGACGCCGCGUGAAGGAAGAAGUAUCUCGGUAUGUAAACUUCUAUCAGCAGGGAAGAUAGUGACGGUACCUGACUAAGAAGCCCCGGCUAACUACGUG